rnacentral:rRNA from 1 species
CUAGACUGAUGAGUUGCGAACGGGUGAGUAACGCGUAGGUAACCGCCUCAUACGGGGGAUAACUAUUGGAACGAUAGCUAAUACCGCAUAAGAGUGAUUAACACAUGUUAGUUAUUUAAAAGGAGCAAUUGCUUCACUGUGAGAUGGACCUGCGUUGUAUUAGCUAGUUGGUGAGGUAAAGGCUCACCAAGGCGACGAUACAUAGCCGACCUGAGAGGGUGAUCGGCCACACUGGGCACUGAGACACGGCCCAGACUCCUACGGGAGGCAGCAGUAGGGAAUCUUCGGCAAUGGACGGAAGUCUGACCGAGCAACGCCGCGUGAGUGAAGAAGGUUUUCGGAUCGUAAAGCUCUGUUGUUAGAGAAGAACGUUGGUAGGAGUGGAAAAUCUACCAAGUGACGGUAACUAACCAGAAAGGGACGGCUAACUACGUGCCAGCAGCCGCGGUAAUACGUAGGUCCCGAGCGUUGUCCGGAUUUAUUGGGCGUAAAGCGAGCGCAGGCGGUUCUUUAAGUCUGAAGUUAAAGGCAGUGGCUUAACCAUUGUACGCUUUGGAAACUGGAGGACUUGAGUGCAGAAGGGGAGAGUGGAAUUCCAUGUGUAGCGGUGAAAUGCGUAGAUAUAUGGAGGAACACCGGUGGCGAAAGCGGCUCUCUGGUCUGUAACUGACGCUGAGGCUCGAAAGCGUGGGGAGCAAACAGGAUUAGAUACCCUGGUAGUCCACGCCGUAAACGAUGAGUGCUAGGUGUUAGGCCCUUUCCGGGGCUUAGUGCCGCAGCUAACGCAUUAAGCACUCCGCCUGGGGAGUACGACCGCAAGGU